CGCUACGACUAGGGGUACGGCGAAAGCCGUUGAGAGAGUCCCUUCGAACCUGAACUGAUUCACAUCAGCGUAGGGAAGUCAGAGAGCGGUUGG
rnacentral:ncRNA from 2 species